rnacentral:tRNA from 1 species
CAGAAAAUAGUUUAAUGAUAGAACUCCAGCUUUGGGAGCUGUGAGCAGAAGUUUGAAUCUUCUUUUUCUGA